GGCCCCCCACCAACGCCAUGAUAGCAUUCCGUGCAACAGCAUCCGAUGGGGGGAUAAGCCAUUGGUGGUGGAGGACAAGGUUCUGGAACCUUUGGUGGUGGUGGUGGUGGUGGUUCUUUUGGUUUCUCAGGUUCCUUAGGCUUUUCGGGUUCUUUCGGCUUUUCGGGUUGUUUCGGUUUCUCGGGUUCUUUGGGUUUUUCGGGUUCUUUCGGCUUUUCGGGUUGUUUAGGUUUCUCGGGUUCUUUGGGUUUUUCGGGUUCUUUUGGUUUUUCUGGUGCUUUAGGCUUUUCGGGUUCUUUUGGUUUUUCUGGUACUUUAGGCUUCUCAGGUUCUUUGGGUUUUUCAGGUUCUUUGGGCUUUUCGGGUUCUUUAGGCUUCUCAGGCUCCUUGGGUUUGGGAGGAGGAGGUGGAGGUUUGAUCUCAAUGCUCUUGAUUGAUCCAGCACCCUUGCAACAUAUCUUGUCCCUCAGCUUCUCAGGAUUGCAGCAUACCACGGUAAUGGUCACGGUGUUGGUUUUCUCAUCGUAUAUCUGGUCUCGUAUUUCUCUUGUUCGCAAAAACCCAUCAUCAAAAAAUUAUCAACUUAAACCAGUUCACACUUCACUGUCUUCAGCUCAAUCAUAAAAUAAAUAAAAAAACUACUUUGCAAUUAUUAAAAUGCUAAACACACAAAGGACAAGCAUAAAAAUCAGGAAACGGGAACUCACGAGGGAAUUUACACAGCACUUUCUUCACUUUCUUGUAG
rnacentral:lncRNA from 1 species